rnacentral:lncRNA from 1 species
GCACUCAGUGCUCUUAACUGCUGAGUUAAGCAACCCUGGUAUUAUUAUUAUUAUUAUUAUUAUUAUUAUUAUUGUUAUUUAAAAGUAGUUGAGUAUGGGUAGUUCACACUUGUGAUAAUCCAAAAGUAAACGACAAAAGGUUGUAGUUAUCCCCAGGAGUGAAACAGGAGGAAUUUGAAUGAAGUAAAUUUAUGAAAAUUUCUACCAUUUAAAUGAAUUGAUUUUUGUAGGUAAACUGCUUUUUACUUGUGAGCUAUUGAGUGAAUGGCUGAAAUGUAGAGCUGACUUGGAGUGAAAUAAAAGCCACUGGUAAGUACAAGCAGCAGCUGAUAUGCUACAGUCUACUGUUUGCCCUGCAAAUAGGUCUGCACUUGGGUCAGGAGCUUGGUCUUGGCAGCUCACAUAUAACCAUGAGUUAUAUAUAUAGUAACGUUAUGUAUGGAAACUUUGCUGUGUGCCAGAUACUGUGCUAAGCAUCUUUUUAUGUUCUGUCAAACAUUUGAGAGGGCAUGCAAGGAUUACUGCUAUGCCUAUUUGAAAUGUGCAAACUGGAGUGACUCUCAUUUGAAAAGCCCUAGCAGGUAGAUGUGUGCCUGUAGUUUCACAGUCAGUGGGUGGAGAGCUGGGAUUCCUGUCCCAGGUCCCCCCUCUGACUGUAUUUUCAAUCAUUCACUAAACAGACAUAAAUUUCAUUUUUAUUUCAUGUUUCUAUAGAAAGUCAAACUUCCAUAUUUUUUAUUGUAUUUUAAAUCUCUCUUUGUCUCUCUGUGCACACGUGCGUGUGAUAUGUAUAUGUGGGUGCAAAUGCUGACGCUCAUAUGUGAGGGUUAGAGAUCAGCUUUGGAGUGGCUUCUCUCCUUUCACCUUGUGUUUUGGUGAUCAACUAAUUUUUUUUUAAAAGAAUUAUUUAUUAUAUGUAAGUAUACUGUAGCUGUCUUCAGACACUCCAGAAGAGGGCGCCAGAUCUCGUUACGGAUGGUUGUGAGCCACCAUGUAGUUGCUGGAAUUUGAACUCAGGACCUUCAGAGGAGUAGUUGGUGCUCUUAACCACUGAGCCAUCUCACCAGCCCCCCCCCCCCUCAACUAAUUUUUAUCCUCUGAACCAUUUUGGCUGUUAUUGAACCUGUUAUUGUUUUGAGACAGGGUCUUAUUCUGUGGGCCAGCUUAGCCUGAAACUGUAAUCCAUGCCUUAAGCUUGAGGUGACGUUUCUACAUCUGCCUUCUGAGUUCUAUGGCCAGGCAACUGCUGUAUGGUACCUGUUCCUCCAGGUCAUGCUGUGGCUGGUGCAAUCCCAUCAUUCAGUGUAGGCCAGUGCUCACAGGUAACCUUUCAGAAGAUGGAGAAAGGAGGAAGAGCCAGGUUUGCUAGGAAGGAGUUUGGGGACUAUUUGCAUUAGCAGGCCCUGGCUGUCCUGGAACGCACUCAGUCCACCAGACUGGCCUCCACUGCAAGGUGAUCCUUGGAAGCCCCUGCUUCCCAAAUGGUGGGAUUGCAGGUGUGCACCGCCAUCACAGGCUAUCCCAGAUCCCCAAGGUAAGAUGAAAACGCCUCAGCCAAAGUCACAUUCAUGUAUGUGAGCUACUGAUCACCAGAACUCUUCUGGCUAUCAUUUAUGUGGCUGUGAUAAAAGGUCCACUACCGAGGCACUUUGUAAAGAAAGACUUGAUUUAUUCGGGAUUAUGGUUCCAGAGGAAAAGCGUGCCAAAACAGAGACAGAAGUUGAAGUUUCUGGAGGCUUUGAACUCCCAAGGACCACCUCCAUGAUGUACAUCCUUCAGCAAGACUACACCUCCUAAACCUCCCCAAACAAUGUCACCAAGUGGAGACCAAGGGUUGAAAGCUCAUGAGACAUUCCUCAUUCAGAAAUCACAGUAGCUAAGCCUGGCCCUCCUUUAAUUUACACUCAUCCGCGGUGGAACAAGAUAAUCCAAAA